AAAACAUUGGCCGUCGCGGACCCAAUCCAUGUUUCUUACACAAUGCUGUGGAAGGGUGUGCUAUCUGUGUUCUUUCCUGGGCGCCCAGAGGAAGGGAAGGAAAAGAGAGGCUGGAGGGAGGCAAAGAGAGGAACUGAGGCACAGACUUGUUGAGAUGGAUGUUUGUUGAUAAAAAGUUGUAGGGAACAAAGCCAAAGGGACAGGGGAAGAUAGGGGGAGGCAAGCACCCAGAGCUGAUCCCCAGCUGUGCCUUCUCCAGGCACGAAGCCCAAACUCCCACGGUUUUCUCAGCAAUUUAGCAACUAGGAAAAGCUGGCAAAAAAACGAUACCCUGUGAUCCAAAAGAAUGACUGCCCUGCCAGAAGGUGCACUAAAAUCUACGUCCUGUCCUUUUGUCCACCGUGCUUUCUCUACUGCAUUUGCCCUCAGUGACCCGAUUGCCUCCAUUGUAACUGAAGGUGGGGGUCCAGCUGCUUGCUGCUCAACAGCCAAUAAGGAGGCAAGCAUUUCUCUUACAAGGACAAAGCAAAAAUGGAAUGAUAUCCUGGAUGAAGUAUGCAUCUCUCCUCACCCACUGAUGAUCUGCUGUAUCUGCUGGGUUUAUUCCUAGCAUGCUCACUCCUCUCUGUGCUGAGGAAAAAAAGAAUUUGGAAGAAACCUACAUGGCCCCCAAGCUCUCAGAAGGUGAGGAAGUUUCUUGUGGUCCUCUGUGCCAAGCUCUGGAUACCCAGGAAGGAGACUGUGAUAAGGCCUUCAUCAUGGAGUCCACAUCAGAAAUUUGUAGACACAGAAGGACAAAGCACUUACUAAGGAGCAUGCUCGCUGUUUUGAAAUGGUUCACAAAGUUUCCAGGUGGAUAAAAACCUGACCCAGUAAACCACACUUUCUAAUGCAUUUUGGCACAAGGCUAAUUGUGCCAGGAGACGGUUUCAUUUUCAGUGUGUACAUCUCAAUCCCAAGCACCCUAACUCCUGCUUCCUCCCUUUCUUCCCUCCUGGUGGCCAUAAGUUUUGUUCUCUAAAAUCUGUAAAUUUGUUUCUGUUUUGUAAACCAGUUCAUUUGUAUCAUUUCUUUUUAGGUUCUGCAUGUAAGUGCUAUCAUAAGGUUUUUCUCAUUGUCUGACUUACUUCACUCAGUAUGUAUACACUGCUAUAAUAAAAGUGGAUAAUCAACAAGGACCUACUGGCUU
ensembl:lncRNA